rnacentral:rRNA from 1 species
UACAGAGGUCUCAAGCGUUGUUCGGAUUCAUUGGGCGUAAAGGGUGCGUAGGCGGCAUAGCAAGUCGGAUGUGAAAUCCCUCGGCUUAACCAAGGAAGUGCAUCCGAAACUGCUGUGCUUGAGUACUUAAGAGGAUCGCGGAAUUCCCGGUGUAGAGGUGAAAUUCGUAGAUAUCGGGAGGAACACCAGUGGCGAAGGCGGCGAUCUGGGAAGAUACUGACGCUGAGGUGCGAAAGCGUGGGGAGCAAACAGG